rnacentral:rRNA from 1 species
GUGUCAGCAGCCGCGGUAAUACCGGCAGCCCGAGUGAUGGCCGAUCUUAUUGGGCCUAAAGCGUCCGUAGCUGGCCGUGCAAGUCCAUCGGGAAAUCCGCGCGCUUAACGCGCGGGCGUCCGGUGGAAACUGCAUGGCUUGGGACCGGAAGGCGCGACGGGUACGUCCGGGGUAGGAGUGAAAUCCCGUAAUCCUGGACGGACCGCCGAUGGCGAAAGCACGUCGCGAGAACGGAUCCGACAGUGAGGGACGAAAGCCAGGGUCUCGAACCGGAUUAGAAACCCUCGUAGACC